AUGAAGUCAGUUAGCUAAAAUUGCUCUUGCUUUGUACAUUUACUAUAAACUUUAAAUUGUUUGUAUAGCAAUUCUUAUUAACUGAAUUUGAUAUUGCCUUCCUGUGCAGAGCUCACUAGUUUAAGAUCCUAGUUAUGCCAUUUUAAGUGUCCUUAGUGAACCAAAAAAUAAAAUAGAUAUUGGCAUUUUACUGCACAAUAGAAAUAGGGACUACAAG
rnacentral:misc_RNA from 1 species